AUACGCUGGCGGCAGGCUAACACACUGCAGUCUAACGGUAACAGGAUGUGCUUGCACAUCGCUGACGAGUGGCGGACGAGGUGAGUAAUGCUUAGGGAUCUGCCUCUGUGUGGGGGAUAACUAUUGGAAACUGAUAGCUAAGUACCGCAUAAUGUUUACGGACCAAAGGGGGCGUUUGCUCCCGCGCAGAGAGGAACCUAAUGUGAUGAUUAGCUAGUUCGGUAAGGUAAUUGGCUUACCAAGGCGACGAUCUCUAGCUGUUCUGAAGAGCGAAGAUCAGCCACACUGGGACUGAGACACGGCCCAGACUCCUACGGGAGGCCGCAGUGGGGAAUAUUGCACAAUGGGGGGAACCCUGAUGCAUGCCAUGCCGCGUGUGUGAAGAAUGGCCUUCGGGUUGUAAACGCACUUUCAGUUGUGAGGAACAGGUUAGUAGUUCCAUACCUGCUAGCUGUGACGUUAGCAACAGAAGAAGCACCGGCUAACUCCGUGCCAGCAGCCGCGUGUAAUACGGAGGGUGCGAGCGUUCAUCGGAAUUACUGGGCUGUAAAUGCGCACGCAGG
rnacentral:rRNA from 1 species